GUGAAUCAUCAAAUUUUUGAACGCAAAUUGCACUCUCUGGUAUUCCGGAGAGUAUGCCUGUUUGAGGGUCAGUUUAAAUAAAAAAUCGUUGUGGUUGCUGCCUUUCGUGGUGACGCCCCGGUUUUGGGUCGUCUUGCCUUCGGUUAAUUGACCUAAAUUUUUGCUUGUUUUUUUCGAACGUAUUUAAAUGAUUUUACGUACGUUUGCGAUAUCGAAUACUAGUUGCGGUCUUCCUCAUGAUCC
rnacentral:misc_RNA from 1 species